GUAUGUGUGCGUCAGCGCAGGUCUGGAUGUACCAGCUACAGGUGUGUGAAGAUGAUGGAUCCAGACAAACAACCACCUGUCUCUGUCUGGCUUUUGCUGGGUCUGUACCACGAGGAUAGCCUUGGAUUCAUGAACUUUAACAACACCGGUGGAAACAGAAACGUUGCGUUGUACUCCGCUGUGGAAGUGAUCACAGAGACUCCGUCGGGACUGAGUCAGUCAGCUGCAUCCAGACAGGGAGCCACUGGAGAGGGGCUAAAGAGGCAUGUGGCUCCGGAGCCGCAGGUUGCAGACCCCUGCUAACAGAGCUGUGAAGUCAUCAUGAUCUGGACUCUCCCCUGCUCCUGUGAUCGUGCGACUUCUGUCUGGUGGUCACCUCGGGUUAGAGGUGUAGUGGCGGCCUGCUAACCUAUCCAAUAUGCUAACCAGGGACGCUGACCUUGAGAUGGCAGCCGUUCAGAAAUGUCUACAUUAAUGAAAGUGGUCCCAGGUGGGCCAAAAUGAAAUGGAAACCACACACAAUCAAUAUAGUAGCAAUCAUAACAAUAAAGUAGGGCUGUGCAAUAGAACGAUAUAUAAAUAAAACGUCAAAACAAUAUAAAAAUGUCGUUUCGAUAGCGAUAUAGUCUAGACCUAUAUUUAUUUUUUCUUCUCUAUAAUUUCACUUAAAACUUAUGCUCAUUUACUCAAGUUCUUAAAAUGACAAAAAAACUCAAGUAUUUAAUUCACACAGGAGUGGGCAAUACAAAAAUAGGCUUUAUCAUGUGGUUAUUUCAUAUAGACUAUUUAUUUAUUGAAUUGACAGAAAACCUGCUAUAUCGUGUUAAAAUAUCGUUAUCAAGAUAUGAAAUGGCCUAUGUCAUGAUAGAAGAUUUUGGCCAAUAGCCCAGCCCUACAACAAAGGUAGAUGAUACUAUCUUCAGCUGAGGUCAGAGUUUAAACAUAAAUGCUAAUGCUUGCCCCUCACAAUAUUGGAUUAUUUGGAAUUAUAUACAGAAUAAAAAGGAAAAAGAAGACACACGAGAAUUACAAGUCAAGUGUAAACCUUUUUAAGUCGGCAACAAAUAGGUAAAAACUGAAUUGAAUAGAUCAGCCCCAUUGUCACCAAUACCUGAUCCAACUAUUUGAGUCAGUAUCGACCAGAUAUCCGAUCCCGUAUCGGUGCAUCCCUAAUUUUAAGCUUCAUUAACCUGUAUUUUUACAACAUUUGAAGUUCUUAAUAAGCUAAUUAACUUGAUAAACACAAAUAUGUCUAGGCUAUGUUGCAUUUUCUUGGCCUUGGAUGGUCAAUAUCAACAAUUGCUUAAGGUAGCUUUAAAAAUGAAAUUCAUCAUGAUAAUGAGAUUGAGACAAAAUUGAGGUCACCGGUCAUUGCCUAAUGUUCCCAACAACAUUUUACAACAUACCCCAAAGCUCUGGAUAAUGUUUUGGAACAGAUCCAGCUUUUAAGAUGAAUAUUUCAAGAGCAUACUGGAGCACUUUUAGCAGCUAUUUGACAGAAAUAUGCUAUUUGAAGUAAAAGUGCAUCCACUCUGAUCUUGUAUCAGUGUUAUUUUUGGCGUAAGAGAUUCAGACUUCUGUUGUUCUUCUCCAGUUGGAGAAACUACUGAGCCAGUCGAUGCCUUUAUAGGCUGGACCAAGGUUAGAAAACGUCAUCUAACUGUGUCAGAGCCAGAAUCCAAACAAAUAUAGCAGCAAGCAUUGAUUUAAAAAAAAAAAAAAAAAAAAAAAAAAAAAGGUGGAGCUAUCGAGGCUGUAAAUUAAACUGACUAAAAACAAUUCUCAAGUGAGAAGACCAUCAUGCAUUGAAGGCAUUUCUUUAAAAGAAAUUAGUUUUUUGCCAUUCUCCCCAAGAGGAAAAGUGUAAUACUACAAAAUAUCCAAUACUUAUUGUUGUUUCUCCCUUGAUGGCCUUAACACUAGGACCACCAUAGCCCACGCCAUUUAACAUUGUGGUCCCAAAAUUUUAAUUAUUCCUUCAUUGUAUGUGCUAUUUUCCUUCCUUCCCUGACUUUUCCUGAAUACUUAUUCUGCACAUGCCUGUAUUUUCAUAAUGAUAGUAUGACAUUUAGAAAGCUAAAAACAUGUGUUUUUGUUUUUUAUGACUAAAAGUCCCCUUUCGUCACUAAGAGUAUCACCGAUUAACGUUGGUACUCUCCUCCGGCAGCCGAAUUGAGGCCUUUGCAUAAUGGCCGUAUAAGUGCAUUGAGACAACGAAUGGGACAUAGAAACUAAUUAGCACUCCAAUAUUCACUCACAUGCAUUUGUAAUCACACUAUGGUAUGAAAGUCCACAUUAUGUUCCAUGUGUGCGCUUUAUGCAUAUAUAAUUAGGCCUGUACCAAAUAGUUUGAAGCUUCAUUCAUAACGUUGACAUUUGAAUUAUUAUUUUUAAUAACUUACAGAAACACUGCGUGCAAUAGUUCUCUCUCUCUCUCUCUCUCUCUCUCUCUCUCUCACAAAUGAUGAAUAAUGAGGAUCAAGUUAAAGAAGGCUUGUCAUGUAGCUCGCUGUGCACAGUGGCAAUAAAAUGGUAAAUACUUCAU